CGCCUUAUACUCCUACGGGAGGCAGCAGUGGGGAAUUUUGGACAAUGGGGGCAACCCUGAUCCAGCAAUGCCGCGUGAGUGAAGAAGGCCUUCGGGUUGUAAAGCUCUUUUGUCAGGGAAGAAACGGUGGGAGCUAAUAUCUCCUACUAAUGACGGUACCUGAAGAAUAAGCACCGGCUAACUACGUGUCAGCAGCCGCGGUAAUACGUAGGGUGCAAGCGUUAAUCGGAAUUACUGGGCGUAAAGCGUGCGCAGGCGGUUUUGUAAGUCUGACGUGAAAGCCCCGGGCUCAACCUGGGAAUUGCGUUGGAGACUGCAAGGCUUGAAUCUGGCAGAGGGGGGUAGAAUUCCACGUGUAGCAGUGAAAUGCGUAGAGAUGUGGAGGAACACCGAUGGCGAAGGCAGCCCCCUGGGUCAAGAUUGACGCUCAUGCACGAAAGCGUGGGGAGCAAACAGGAUUAGAUACCCCAGUAGUCCACGUACCA
rnacentral:rRNA from 1 species